UGACAUUGUCAGCUAAAAAGAUUGAAAGUUCUCUGGUGUCACUAUUUCUUUUUAUCCAGUUUCAGUGGCUUAAGGGAUAAUUACACUCUGGGACUUGCAUUUGGGAGAGCUUGUACUUUCUUGCCCUGUGUUAUUUGGAUGAAGUUAGAAUUAGAGAAGGUUGACGGAUGCUGAAAACUGAACUUUGCGACCUCGUCAAGAGCACCGCAAGCUGCCUCUGGAAAACUUCAUCUUACUUUCUCAUGCAGACCCACAAGGGACUGCGAGGAUGUCCUGUUUUAUGAUUUCUGCAGACAAGCUUGUGCCACACAAUGCUGGGAAUAAAGUGGAGAUGGGAUGCACGUGUGGGGAUAGCUGGAAGAACUGAAAGGAGGCAGCUUGUGUGCUUCCUCUUCCACACGGGACUGACGUGGGUAGGAGCAUCCUUUGCACCAGAUUGGAUCCCAAGGAGCUGAAGGAUCCACGCCCCAAGAUUAGUUCAUCUGUUGGAUCUCUCUGUUCUCAGUGCCACCUUCUCCUGUGGGUGCACUGGGAGGGGCAAGGAGAAGUGCCAGCGUUUCAUCUCUGUGUGACAUCGUUUCCAUAUGACUGCUGGGAAGGCAGAAAGGCCCCAGCUGCUCCUGCUGGCAUCACUAUGGGUGGUUUUCCAAUUCCUUCCUACAGAGCUUGCAAAUUAAAUGCACUUUAAAUUCAGCUGUGUUUGGGGUGUUUCUGAUGGAAUUCUCAGCAAUAUAUUUUUGCUCUUUGCUGUCCGUUCUGACAUAAUGUCAGCUUGGGUCAUCCCUGAAAGGGCUGGAGAUAUCAGACUGCAGGAGCACCAUCACAAAGACCUCAUGUGCCAUGAAGUUUGCUAGUGAAGAAAAUGUGCUGAUGGAGUUAAUCAAAGCAGGCGCAAAGAGUGCAAACGUACAAAAAUACCUUUUUUGUCCUUGAACACUUCUGCAAGCACAAAAAAAGUGAAAAUAUAUUACCAACAUGGUUGCAUAUAAGCAGGGGUAACCCUUAUUUUGUAAUUAAUGGGGUUUUUCCUCGCAGAACUUUACAGAACUUGCUGAAAUCUUUCUUCACUGCCUCUCUUAAUUGUGACUUACAGUAAUGGUAUAACAGAAGAGGAGCAACCUGUAGGGUUAUAGGAAGGAAAUGUAACAGGAAAGUAGCAUGUAAGAACUCAUCAUUAAUUUCAACAGCUGUUUUUUCCCUGGUAGGGUUUAACUGGAUGCUCUGCAGGGCUGUUGAGCAUUUGUGUGCCCACACAGCAGAACUCUGCAGCGAUUGUGCUAGCUGACCUAAGAGUGAAGCUAUAGGCAAGGAGUGACUUAGUAAAGCAUUAAAAAUGGUUCAUAAGUGAAAGUGAAAGGCUGUGUAGAAGGCAUUGGAAGGUUUGUUAGUCUGUAUGUGUUUUCUGUUCUAGGAUAACUAUAUUCUCAUGUUUUAGUGUUACCUUGAUAAUGAAUAACUUGUGCUGUUCUUGUGUUAGACAACGUUGUUCUCUUAAGCAUGUUGUUUUACAUGUUCUGGUAUUCAAAAAACAAUUCCCAUGGAAAAGUGCACACACAUUCUUUCUCUCAUGCACACACAUGUGUGCCAGUCUGUGACAAAAUUUUCUUUUGAGAUCAAACAUUAGCUAAAGCCAUUGGAGCUGCCAUAAGGGUAGGAAAGUGACUUGGCUCAGACACAAAUAUCCAGAAAUCCUCUUACACUUUCACAAAGGAAAGAAACAGGCAUCUGUCUUACCAACCUCUGAGAGAGAAAUUUAAAAUAUAUGCCAUCAGCAAAGUAAUGGCUUUGAUUUCUGAGGCGAAUGCUAGUGGGAGAGAAAUUUCCAUGAAGAAACCAUAGAGGAAUACUCUUAAUCAUUGACAGCAAUUAAAGAAAAACUUUGAAUUCCUCACUCUGGGUUGGCAAGGCGAGAGGUGUGCUGUCCACUGGGAUGUAUUAGCAAGGUGGACAGCUCAGUUCCAUGGCUAUGACAGUUUGUUCAUGUCCUGCAGACAGACUAAUUUCCAAAGCAGAGUCCUGUUGUCAGGCAAAGUGAAACUCUCUGGUGAAAGCUAUUCAUUUGAGUGGUAUUCAGAGUCUCUUAUUGUAAACUUCCUCUACUGAGCUCUGUACUGUAUUUUAUCUAUAUGUUAUGCACACAUCUUAGAUGAGGAGAGUUUGAGGCAACUUCCCAGUAGUGUGGAAGUAAACAAUAUAUUUACAAUUGUGAAGACUGAGGUACUGCUCAAUAAAAAGAAUAGAAGGUAUGUAUAUAUAUAUAUAUAUAGGUAUAUACUACAGUUUAUUUGAUGGAGAAAUGUUUUUUAUCCAAGGAGCAAUAUGAUGUGUCCACUGGGUUUUAAUAUCCUCCUUGUUCCUCACAGAUCAUUAUUCAGAAAUAAAUGCAUAUAAGUAAAAGAAGUGGAAGUGUUCAAAACCUGAAACAGUGUUGUGCUUUUUUUUUUUUUUUUUUAUUUUUAACUAAAUUGAAAGAGAAUGUGUCAGGUAAUAAUGCAUAUCUACAGUAGAUAAUGACAGUCACAGUAGACUUGCUCUGUACGGUCAUCACGUAUUUCAGCAUGAGGCUACUGAACACUGCAACUGCAUUUGGAAGACCUCUCUCCAAAUCCUUUACACUAAACAUAAGAUUUCCAUGGUGAAAAUCAGGGAUUUGGGGGUCUUUCUGUAGCUGAGAGAAACAGAG
ensembl:lncRNA